rnacentral:rRNA from 1 species
UAGUAAUCGCAGAUCAGAAUGCUGCGGUGAAUGCGUUCCCGGGUCUUGUACACACCGCCCGUCACACCACGGGAGUUGGAGACGCCCGAAGCCGACUAUCUAACCUUUUGGAAGAAGUCGUCGAAGGUGGAAUCAAUAACUGGGGUGAAGUCGUAACAAGGUAGCCGUAUCGGAAGGUGCGGCUGGAUCACCUCCUUUCUAAGGA